CAUGGACCUUGAGGUUGUCGCUGGCAUAUCAGGAMACGUGAGCAUCUCUGGACAUUACCAAUUCCGCCUGUGCACACUUGUAGACACUUGGGAAUGAGAGACUUUGACCAGUCUCUUGAGAGAAUUGAAAUCUGGGUGUCUAUGCCAUUUUAUUACACACUAGUUGCAUGUCUAUAGAAUGAUGAUUUGAUUAAAUAUAAAAUACAACUUUCAACAACGGAUCUCUUGGCUCUCGCAUCGAUGAAGAACGCAGCGAAAUGCGAUAAGUAAUGUGAAUUGCAGAAUUCAGUGAAUCAUCGAAUCUUUGAACGCACCUUGCGCUCCUUGGCAUUCCGAGGAGCAUGCCUGUUUGAGUGUCAUUAACAUCUCAAGACCUGUCUGUUUUUGAUAGGUAUUGGAUUUUUGGGGGUUGGCGGGCGGUCUCAGAUAGCUUGCUCUCCUUGAAUGUAUUAGUGGAGAAAGAGCCAUUGAACUCCAUUGGUGUGAUAAAAUCUAUCAAUGCCAGGAGCCAUGUUAGUUCUCUCUGCUGUCUAACUCUAACAGUGGUCUGUAAAAAAAAUGGACAACUCACCCUAACUUGACCUCAAAUCAGGUAGGACUACCCGCUGAACUUAAGCUAUCAUACCUGGCUAGUCUGUAGUGACGGAGAAUCAUUAGUGACAUGGACCUUGAGGUUGUCGCUGGCAUAUCAGGACACGUGAGCAUCUCUGGACAUUACCAAUUCCGCCUGUGCACACUUGUAGACACU
rnacentral:rRNA from 1 species